AUUCAUGGCCUCAAUGAGAAAACUAUAUUAUCCACUUCCGAACUGAGUCAAGAUCUGAAAAUCAAGUUGCGAAUCUGUUGAUGGGGUCUAAAUCAGGUCACUCUGCUAGCUUCAUUUCGGUAUAAAGCUCCACCGCAGAGGUAAGGAUUCCUCCUCUAGGCUGACACCAGGCUUGGCCGCCAGAUGAUGAUAUUGGUGCUUCUCUCCAAAGAAUGCAUGCAACGAUGCGUGGUGAAUCCACAUUUAUUGAAACUUUCCUGCAAUUCAAAGAUAUCUUGCAAAAUCGGAUCAAUCUCUUGAAGGCUACUUUUUUAUUUAAUUGCCUUCACCAAAGCUGUGAUUCUAUCUGUGUUUUCCACAAGAAAUCUUCCAAAGUUGUCCCUUGCAGCUACUGCCGUUGCUCCAUCACUAGAAGCUUCCUGAAAGGCUGCAUCAAUAGUUAUUUU